rnacentral:rRNA from 1 species
AUUGAACGCUGGCGGCAGGCCUAACACAUGCAAGUCGAGCGGAUGAAGGGAGCUUGCUCCUGGAUUCAGCGGCGGACGGGUGAGUAAUGCCUAGGAAUCUGCCUGGUAGUGGGGGAUAACGUCCGGAAACGGGCGCUAAUACCGCAUACGUCCUGAGGGAGAAAGUGGGGGAUCUUCGGACCUCACGCUAUCAGAUGAGCCUAGGUCGGAUUAGCUAGUUGGCGGGGUAAAGGCCUACCAAGGCGACGAUCCGUAACUGGUCUGAGAGGAUGAUCAGUCACACUGGAACUGAGACACGGUCCAGACUCCUACGGGAGGCAGCAGUGGGGAAUAUUGGACAAUGGGCGAAAGCCUGAUCCAGCCAUGCCGUGUGUGUGAAGAAGGUCUUCGGAUUGUAAAGCACUUUAAGUUGGGAGGAAGGGCAGUAAGUUAAUACCUUGCUGUUUUGACGUUACCAACAGAAUAAGCACCGGCUAACUUCGUG